UUAUUUGAGCCCAAUACAUUACUAAAAAAAACUCUUCUUUUCCUCCCUUAAAAAAACUCUCUUCUUCCCGCGUUAGGGUUUUCUCCCCUUCAAGUUGCUGUUCCUUUUUCUUCAUCCCUAUCGAUUUUCAAAUUCAUGUCAAUAUCAAAAGUGUGAUACUUUUACAAUUUCGCAUACAGUCUAGAUUUUUCAUCAUCUUCAAACCUUAACUCAUGAUUUGAAGGGUUUAUCAGUAUUGUUGAUCUUGCAUCAUUGAUUUCUUUGUGUGAAUCUGUUUAUUUGACAAACUAAUUUCUAAUCUAUCCAAACCACUCACAACUUGUUGUUGUGCAAAGGAAAAGGCUAUUGACGACUUGACCAAGGCAUUAGAGUUUGAAUCCAACAUAGCAGACAUUUUACAUGAGAGAAUAAGGAAUUAAGAUAUAGUGUGUGAUAGGGGGCUGGGACCGACCUCCUAUUAGGAAGGUUUACAGUAAGAGGAUCAACAAAACCUCACAUGUUCUGAAAAACUCUGACAGUUUCUGAAACUAGAAAUCAUGGUGGAUUCGCCGUGCCUCGUCAAGUAGCUGAAGAUUUCUUUUCAUCCCCGGUACUUACUUUCAAUGUCUUUCCAUGUCGAUGCAUUAAUUCCUAUUCUGUCUAGUAGAUUGAUCUUAUAGAUGCUUCGAAAUGACAUACCCUUGUACCAGCAUCUCAAAUUGGUUAUUUAGAUUGAAUUGACUCUUAAAUGCAUAAGUGAAUGUACCAGCAUCUCAAAUUGGUUAUUUAGAUUGAAUUGACUCUUAAAUGCAUAAGUGAAUGUACCAGCAUCUCAAAUUGGUUAUUUAGAUUGAAUUGACUCUUAAAUGCAUAAGUGAAUGUAGCUUAAUAUAUUAUAGAAUAUACUUUUUGCACUUAGAUGGAAUUGGUUACUGAAGAGUAUUUGGACUUAAUAUGUUAUAGAAUAUACUUUUUGCAUGUGAAGAGAUUUUAAAAACCAAUCAAAUUGAAAAUUUGCAAAUUGGUAAUGAACUUUUUCAUAAACUAAUUUGAAAUAUAUUGAGUGGAUCACGCCUUGUUUCUUUCAUUUAAUAUGAAUAAUUUAUUUCUAAUUGCUGUAACUAAUCUCUCUAAUACAGAAUAUAUACACAGGCUUAUGUCAUUUAAUAUGGACAUUAUUUCUAACUACUGUAACGAGUAGUCUGUCAAGUCAAGAAAUUUCCAUUGUGAAACAUUGAAGCAUGUAGUAAUGUAGUAUGGUAUCAGUACACCUCAUGUCUCAUACAGAAUGCAUUGCGGCAACAAAGCUAUGUUCAUGAAGUUUCAAUUCAUUACAAUCUCAAUGAGUCAUACCGAGAUUGGCAUUGGGGGAGCAACUGAUAGUUUGAGUCGCCAUCAAGUUAGACUCCAAGCUUAUAAGUGAUACGGGAGAAAAUAGUUGUCUGAUUAUGUAUUGAAACACUUGUUGUUGAUAGUGUUAUUUGCUUUUGCAAUAUUUUUUAUAAUUAAAUUAGAUUUUGUGAUAUAACCCAUAAAUCAUAUUGUUAUAUGAUGUUAGCAUUCUUAAAAUCACUGAAGCUAUAUUCUUCAUCUA